AGAGUUUGAUCCUGGCUUAGGACGAACGCUGGCGGCGUGCUUAACACGAUGCAAGUCGAACGGGGAUAUUCGAGCGGAAGGCUUCGGCCGGAAGGUUGGAUAUUCGAGUGGCGGACGGGUGAGUAACGCGUGAACAAUCUGUCCCAGACAGGGGGAUAACACUUGGAAACAGGUGCUAAUACCGCAUAAGACCACGGGGUCGCAUGGUCCAGGGGUAAAAGGAGGAAUCCGGUUUGGGGUGAGUUCGCGUCCGAUUAGCCAGUUGGUGAGGUAACGGCCCACCAAAGCGACGAUCGGUAGCCGACCUGAGAGGGUGAUCGGCCACAUUGGAACUGAGAGACGGUCCAAACUCCUACGGGAGGCAGCAGUGGGGAAUAUUGGGCAAUGGGGCCGAAAGCCUGACCCAGCAACGCCGCGUGAGUGAAGAAGGCCUUCGGGUUGUAAAGCUCUGUUAUAGGGGACGAAGGAGUGACGGUACCCUAUAAGGAAGCCCCGGCUAACUACGUGCCAGCCGCCGC
rnacentral:rRNA from 1 species